AGGACGAACGCUGGCGGCGUGCUUAACACAUGCAAGUCGAGCGGUAAGGCCCUUCGGGGUACACGAGCGGCGAACGGGUGAGUAACACGUGGGUGAUCUGCCUCGCACUCUGGGAUAAGCCUGGGAAAAUGGGUCUAAUACCGGAUAUGACCCCGAAUCGCAUGGUUUGUGGGGGAAAAGUUUACUGGUGCGAGAUGGGCCCGCGGCCUAUCAGCUUGUUGGUGGGGUAACGGCCUACCAAGGCGACGACGGGUAGCCGGCCUGAGAGGGCGACCGGCCACACUGGGACUGAGACACGGCCCAGACUCCUACGGGAGGCAGCAGUGGGGAAUAUUGCACAAUGGGCGAAAGCCUGAUGCAGCGACGCCGCGUGAGGGAUGACGGCCUUCGGGUUGUAAACCUCUUUCGACAGGGACGAAGCGCAAGUGACGGUACCUGUAGAAGAAGCACCGGCCAACUACGUGCCAGCAGCCGCGGUAAUACGUAGGGUGCGAGCGUUGUCCGGAAUUACUGGGCGUAAAGAGCUUGUAGGCGUUCUGUCGCGUCGAUCGUGAAAACGUGCAGCUCAACUGCGCGCCUGCGGUCGAUACGGGCAGACUAGAGUAUUUCCACGAGACUGGAAUUCCUGGUGUAGCGGUGAAAUGCACAAAAUAUCGGAAGAACCCCCGGGGGCAAAAGGGGGG
rnacentral:rRNA from 1 species